CUAUCUGGCGGGCGGUGCGUGGGGGUCUUCGGACCCACCGGUCAUUCGUUGCUUCGUCCCGGUUUGCAGCCACGCAUCGUCCGCCACCUCC
rnacentral:antisense_RNA from 1 species